rnacentral:rRNA from 1 species
GUGGAUUAGAUACCCUGGUAGUCCACGCCCUAAACGAUGAAUACUCGAUGUUAGCGAUAUACAGUUAGCGUCAAAGCGAAAGCGUUAAGUAUUCCACCUGGGGAGUACGCCCGCAAGGGUGAAACUCAAAGGAAUUGACGGGGGCCCGCACAAGCGGAGGAGCAUGUGGUUUAAUUCGAUGAUACGCGAGGAACCUUACCCGGGCUUGAAAGUUAGUGAAUUGAGCAGAGACGCUCAAGUCCUUCGGGACACGAAACUAGGUGCUGCACGGCCGUCGCCAACU